UACGGGGGGUGCAAGCGUUAUUCGGAAUUAUUGGGCGUAAAGAGCGCGUAGGCGGUCUCUUAAGUCAGAUGUGAAAGCCCAGGGCUCAACCUUGGAAGUGCAUUUGAUACUGGGAGUCUUGAGUAUGGGAGAGGGAAGUGGAAUUCCUGGUGUAGAGGUGAAAUUCGUAGAUAUCAGGAGGAACACCGGUGGCGAAGGCGACUUCCUGGACCAAUACUGACGCUGAGGCGCGAAGGCGUGGGGAGCAAAC
rnacentral:rRNA from 1 species